rnacentral:rRNA from 1 species
UAGGGAAUCUUCGGCAAUGGGGGCAACCCUGACCGAGCAACGCCGCGUGAGUGAAGAAGGUUUUCGGAUCGUAAAGCUCUGUUGUAAGAGAAGAACGAGUGUGAGAGUGGAAAGUUCACACUGUGACGGUAACUUACCAGAAAGGGACGGCUAACUACGUGCCAGCAGCCGCGGUAAUACGUAGGUCCCGAGCGUUAUCCGGAUUUAUUGGGCGUAAAGCGAGCGCAGGCGGUUAGAUAAGUCUGAAGUUAAAGGCUGUGGCUUAACCAUAGUACGCUUUGGAAACUGUUUAACUUGAGUGCAGAAGGGGAGAGUGGAAUUCCAUGUGUAGCGGUGAAAUGCGUAGAUAUAUGGAGGAACACCGGUGGCGAAAGCGGCUCUCUGGUCUGUAACUGACGCUGAGGCUCGAAAGCGUGGGGAGCAAACAGGAUUAGAUACCCUGGUAGUCCACGCCGUAAACGAUGAGUGCUAGGUGUUGGGUCCUUUCCGGGGCUCAGUGCCGCAGCUAACGCAUUAAGCACUCCGCCUGGGGAGUACNACCGCAAGGUUG